UCUCUGCGCCUCUCUCCGCCCCGCCUCCCUCCUAGGUGAAAGAAGAUGAUUUCCCCCCCAUCUUGACCACCCCCCAGCUUUCGCCGCCAAACACGGACUCCGCCGGCUCUCCUCGGCCCGGUACCAGUUGUUGGAUCCAAGAGAAUUCCGGAACCCAAACGGCUCGCUCAAAGCACUUUUUUGGCAGUGAAACCUCAAGUAACCCGGAGCCCUCGGCGUGUCCACGGCUAGAAUCAGAGCCUAAGGCGUGUGAGCUCGGCCAUCCCACGCCUGUCUUCUCGCUUACCCGCAAGCCUAACACACCGGGGCUCCCAGUUAAUGAAGUGUAGGGCUGUCCCCACCGCUUCUCACUUCCUUGUUUUCAUCUUUUCGUUUUUAUUAAGCUACCUAACGCAAUAAACAUAUUACCUUGUUGGUAA